rnacentral:rRNA from 1 species
UAACACAUGCAAGUCGAGCGGAUGACGGGAGCUUGCUCCUUGAUUCAGCGGCGGACGGGUGAGUAAUGCCUAGGAAUCUGCCUGGUAGUGGGGGACAACGUUUCGAAAGGAACGCUAAUACCGCAUACGUCCUACGGGAGAAAGCAGGGGACCUUCGGGCCUUGCGCUAUCAGAUGAGCCUAGGUCGGAUUAGCUAGUUGGUGGGGUAAUGGCUCACCAAGGCGACGAUCCGUAACUGGUCUGAGAGGAUGAUCAGUCACACUGGAACUGAGACACGGUCCAGACUCCUACGGGAGGCAGCAGUGGGGAAUAUUGGACAAUGGGCGAAAGCCUGAUCCAGCCAUGCCGCGUGUGUGAAGAAGGUCUUCGGAUUGUAAAGCACUUUAAGUUGGGAGGAAGGGCAGUAAGUUAAUACCUUGCUGUUUUGACG